rnacentral:rRNA from 1 species
AUGCACAAAUACCUUUUCAAGUAUGUUACAAAAGGAUUUGAUUGUGCUAGAAUUGUCCUCUACUCCAAGUCUACGUCAUCAGAUUCAUCGACUGAGACAAUUAAUGAAAUUGAUAACUAUUUAGAGUGUCGUUGUGUCACACCAAAUGAUGCUGCUUGGCGUUUGUUCGAGUAUGAUAUUCACCAUACAGAACCUUCCGUAGAAAGGCUCCCUGUUCACCUUCCUCUUGAGAAUGAUGUAAUUUUUUCUGAAGAUGAUAAUCUGGAACAAGUAAUUGAAGACCCAAAAAAUAUGGCAACUAAAUUGACUGCAUGGUUAGAGGCUAAUGUGCAACACACCAAGGCUCAAUGA